AUGGCAGGAUCUAGAUCGAGUGUUCAUGGAGAAAACCAUGGGGAAGAAGAUGCCCCGGUCACACGUGUCGAGCUGCAGCGACUCGAGAACAACUUACUCCAAGCCAUGGAAAGGAUGCUCCAUGAGCGUCCUCCAGCAGGUGGUGAUAGGAUUCGACACCGACAACACCCUAUUGAUCCACUUGAGGAAGUUGGCGAUGAGAAUUCCGUGCAUGCUGCUGUGGAUGGUGACUUGGAGGAUGAUAACACCAACUAUGGUGGACAUGUAGCUGCUACUCAUGGGCGUGGUGCUGCUGCUCUUGGAGGGCAGCGAGGAGGACAACUUCGAGGGCGAGGCCAUGGUCCUCGUGGGCACUACUAUGACCAUCAUGAGCGUGUUGCUCUUGGUCAUGGAGAUGAUUUUGAUGAUUAUGAUGGUGUCCCAUACCGUCGUGCCGCUGAAGAUGGGCCUCGUGCAGAACGUCAUGAUCGAGAUGGUCGAGAUGACAUGGCAAGAAUUAAGUUGCACAUCCCCAAGUUCACAGGAAAGGAAGACCCCGAUGCAUAUUUUGAUUGGGAAGAGCAGUGUGAUCAGAUUUUCGUAUCCAUAACCUUGCUGAUCCGAAGAGAGUCAACCUUUCUUGUGUUGAGUUUUCUGGUUAUGCACUCACUUGGUGGAAUCAACUACAAGAAAAUCAGUUGCUGCUAG
rnacentral:rRNA from 1 species